CGAGAGUAGAGGAGAAAGUUGGAAGGGCGCUAUUGUUGCUUCCUCUCUGCAAUGACAGAAAUUUGACACGUAUCUUGGUUGGUUAACUUGGAUGGAAGUGACUCUGCAAUUGGUGCUUGCAGCCAUUGAGGUGGUGAUUCCAGUCACUCUUGCCGAGUUACAGCUUCAUUCGGAAGAAGAACAGGGGAGAAUGCUUGCAAUACUGUUGUUAUGAUUCUCAACAUUUUCAGCAGGUAUGUUUGUCUUUUAUUUAUUUUUUACCUUUCCU